CAAUAGCGUAUAUUUAAGUUGUUGCAGUUAAAAAGCUCGUAGUUGGAUUUCUGCUGAUCGCUGUCGGUCUGCCGUCAGGUGUGUACUGGCAGUGUUUGGCAUCUAUUCGAGAUUGGGUGUCCACUUGAUUGUGUGCACUCGAUGUCGGAGCUAAUACUUUGAGAAAAUUAGAGUGUUCCACGCAGGCGCGUGCCUUGAAUACUGCAGCAUGGGAUAUUGGAAGGCCGAUUGAGCUUUCUUGUUGGUUCUCGGUUUGAUCGGAAUGAUUAAUAGGGAUAGUUGGGGGCAUUCGUAUUCAACUGUCAGAGGUGAAAUUCUUGGAUCUGUUGAAGACGGACUACUGCGAAAGCAUCUGCCAUGGAUGUUCUCAUUGA
rnacentral:rRNA from 1 species